AUGUAUGUGAACAUAUACUUACAUAUGUAUGUAAUAAAUAACUUCACAAUCUCACUAUGAAGUAAGUUUUAUUAAAUAGGAUACGUUUUAAGCAUCAAGGUGAAGGACUUCAGAGAGUAAGCUCUGAAUAAUUAUUUUCCUGUCAUCAUCACCAGCAGCAGCAGCAGCAGCAGCAACAAAAACCAUUGUCACAGAGGUGGAAACUGGCUGAAGGACUUGCUCAGUGGUGUGGCUGAAAACCAUUCAUCACACUAUCCAAACCAGAAAUCCUGGAAUGAUUUGGCUCACCUAUGCCGUUUCAAUGCUUCUCUCUACAGUGGCAUAUUCAAAUGAUCUCAACAGAUGCACAGGACUUUCCAUUAGUGUCCACCUCAACCAUGUGGAUGAUCCAUCAAUUCUAUUUUCUAAUUAUGUACAUGCAAUGACAUUCAUUUCUAUGGUAAGUGUCUCUAAGUGUAGAAUUUCUUCUGUCUAGUUCAGUACCCUCAUCUCAUGUUACCAAAAAAUUUAAAUUUGAAGUGUUUUGACUGACAAGUGAAAAUUGAGUUCAGUACAGCCUUCUCUUUAAAGAAAAUUAGUCAUAUAUUUCUUCUUGGCCAGGUAAUUUAAAAACCUGGAAUCAUCAUCAUCAUCAAAAACAGUAACAAUGGUAUAACCAAAAUGUAUACAAAAUUACAUAAUUACAUUCAGUCAUAUUUUAUAUCGGACCUCAAGGCAAUUAGAAUCAUAUCUAUUAAUUUCUUGAUAAAGAUCUGCUUAAUCAGUGUAUUCAUUUGUGCAUUCUGGGAUAUAAUAGACUCAAAAUCAGUUACUAUAAUUUCAAACCACAUCGUGUACUUCCUCUCAAAGACACAGUCACAUUUCCUAUCUCUACCAGUAGAUGAAAAUUCAUUCAUAUCUCAAUGUAAAUGAACUGGUUAUUCAUGUUAACUAGAAGCAUGAACAAAAUAGGAGUCCACCUUUUCAAAUAAAAAAAUCUUUUUGAAAAUGAUAAUUUUCAACCAUUAAAAUAGUUUUUUUCUUGCA